rnacentral:rRNA from 1 species
UACGAAGGGGGCUAGCGUUGUUCGGAAUUACUGGGCGUAAAGCGUGCGCAGGCGGCUUCUCAAGUCAGGGGUGAAAGCCCAGAGCUCAACUCUGGAAUUGCCUUUGAGACUGAGUGGCUUGAGUACGAGAGAGGCGAGUGGAAUUCCCAGUGUAGAGGUGAAAUUCGUAGAUAUUGGGAAGAACACCAGGGGCGAAGGCGGAUCGCUGGGCCAGCACUGACGCUGAUGUGCGAAAGCUAGGGGAGCAAACGGG